rnacentral:lncRNA from 1 species
AUCAGUUGGAUUUCCUGCAAGGUGCAAUGUCCUUUGACAGUAUAUGGGAGGAGCUCCAACAAAGUGAAUCCACUUCAGAAGAGAAAAUCUAUGUUGUAAGUUGGAAUGACCAUUUCUUUGUUCUCAAAAUAGAAAAGGAUGCAAUAUACAUAAUUGACACACUAGGAGAGAGGCUAUCAGAAGGAUGCAAUAAAGCAUACAUACUAAAGUUCAACAGAGAAAGUACGGUCUAUAGAGUGCAAUCAAAGUCGAGCAACUCAAAGAUGGCUUCAGAAGAUGAACAAGAUACUGAAUUAUGCAAUUCAGGGAAAAAUGACAAGAGAGACGGCCAUGAACUAAUAUGUAAAGGCAAGCUAUGCAGCAAAGAAUUCAUUAAAGGAUUCCUUGCUGCACUCCCACUUCAAGAACUGCAGUGUAACAUCGAAAAGGGAAUAGCUGACAAAGCUCCACUCCAUCGUCUCCUGCAAAUUGAGUUCCAAUACAUGACUCCAUGCCAUAAGCGCUCACCAAGCAUAGAAAUAAGGUCCUAAUGGAUCAACCCUGAAGUAGUAGUGGACAAUAACAAGCCUUGCAGUGAAAGAGGGCCAAAAGUUCACAAAAAUUAUGGUAUUUCAUCCAGUAAUAAUGUUCACCAUUACCCACCGUGUAAUACAAUUAUACAAAAACUUGUUUCUCAUACUGCCAUUAAGGCAUUAGUCAUGCAUUAUUCUUCUAACAUUUUAAAAGUUCUGUAACGAAACCAUUGUGACAAUGGUUUUUUGUUCUUCAUGCAAUCCACAGCUGAAACAAAACCAAAUAUUUUGUGGAGUUUCAAAUUCUUCUGUCCUCAAUAGAAAAAAUAGCAAAAUAAAUUUGAAAAGAGAAGACAACCAGCAUAUAUGCUACAGCUGCUUCAAGAUUCCUCAAGAAACAGGUGUCGGUGAAACUAGAGCAGCUUACAACAUAACUUUAAUUUCAGUGCAUAAGCUUUCCCAGGAGGCACGGGAUAAUCUAAUUAACUUCAAUCUUCAUGAAAAAAAAGGAGUAGAAUAAAGGGCUUUAAACUAAUUAGAAGUAUACUUAUCAAGUCGUCGCCUAGGCGACACUUAGGCGUCCAGUCGGUGCAUUUUGGGAAGGCGUCUAGGCGACUUGGUGAAGGGGAGAAAGUCGAGCUCUCAGAUGUCGAAGGUGACGACUUGGACAACUUUGUGGCGACUCGGACGACUAGAUUGCUAAGCAGUCGACUUGGACAGGGUUUGACCCGAAGCUUAACUCGAUUAAAAAAAAUAAGUUCGAUCAGUCUAAAACCUAAUCGAUCGAUCAGUCGCAAACUUACAAUAACCCAAUAACAAAGGGAGAAAGGGGAGAGAGGCAGAGAGCAAGAACAAGAGCAAAACAGCAGCAUGGAGGGGACUCACCGACGACGACUCCGGCAGCUCGCGACUUCGGCCUCCACUCCGGCAUGUUGCUUCUUCUUCUAUUCUUCUUCUCUCCUAACUUCUCUUCUUCGUCGUCUUCUUCGUCGUGACUUCAAACUCUGUUGGCUAGACUUCUUCGGACUCUGUUGGCUAGACUUUAAAAUUUUAGUAAUGUUAUACGUGCCUCUAGAUAAAGUGC